UAACAUCGUUCGUUCUAUUUACAGUACUGGUUCGUUUUCAGUGAGUCACAGUUCUUACACAAUUGUAUUUAUGAAGGAAAUAACCAAUUUAAAAAUUUGUAUUUGUGCUAUGUUCGCUAUCCACGAUAAUAGUAUGUAGUAUGUAUAAAGUAUAUAAAGUAAAUAUGCACAUAUUCACAUUACAAAACUUAAUUCGAAGGAAUAUGUUUAGAAAUGCCAAUUUCCAUAAUUACCGGGUCUCUUACUUCCAAUAUGCAAUGUCACUUGCCAAGGAAACCCCAUCCUCUCUAUAUAACAGGAGCGGGGAAACUUCCAAAGUUGCAGCUUUCAGAGACAGCAGCUGUAUUCUUAAGUUGUAGCUCUUUUGCAAAGAUAAUGUACCAGUAGCAGUAUCCUGCCAAUAUACACGCGGUCAGCAGGUUUCAUUUUUUAGUCUUUAUCUAUUCUUGGGUGAGAUACACUGCUUCAAGAAGUUUUUUCCGUGUUUUUGCUUCUGUUCAUUUUCUACUACGAUAUUUUAACUUUGAUUGAUAUAUUUCUUCCAAAUAUGGUCGGCUUCUUUAUUACUUGUCCUCGCCGUUCUUGUCCUUCAUAUAGUCCCUUCGCUCUCAUUUAGAAAUCCCAGUCUUUCUGCGUUGAAUCAGCGUGUGUACUUUAAUGUGAUUUUCCGCAACGAACAGACGGCAGCUUGAGAUUUAUUAUAUCCCGCAUCUCGGCGUAGUGAAACCACCGUUACGGAGCAUAUCGUAUUUUACGGGGCAAGCGCUGAUGGGAUGGAAAUCUAAAUGCAACCCUUUACUUGCGCCUCGCCAAAUUCAAAACAGGUGGUGUAAAACUUUUGGCAUGAUAGCUAAACUCCAUGAAUUAGCACGUAGAUCGUCCCAAUGAUACUGCAUUGGUGUUGUCAGCAGGAUAUUAGCAAUUGAGAAAAAGUGAAAAAUUCUUGUGCAGCAGUGCGACAUACGAGUAUGUAUACAGAUGUGCUUUGUGUCAGUGCAAUUGGGGGUAAAAUGAGUGAAUUAUUCUUGUAAUCAUAUAACGGGUUAAUAUUGCCCAAGUGAUUUGUAGUCAAUUGCCCCCGAUGGUGUUUACGUGUUGUAAUUUUGGGCAACAUAUAUUGAUGAAAGCUUAAUACUAAUUACUUUGGAAUUUAACAAAGCAGCUAAUUGAUGUUAAUUGAUAUUGGGGAGACAGCCACUGAUAGGUUUUAAAUACGACGUCUACAGCAACUCAUUGCCCCCAACGAAAAUGCCAAUAAUUUGAGGAAUUAAGAUGGCGACAUAGAGAUAUAACAUAUCAAAGCGUCUAAUUAGCAACUGAAGUGUCAGACCUACUAAUUAUCUCCAUGCUUGUUUACACCAUUUCAUAGAGUUGCAUUCUCAAAUAACCUACUAACAAUGAUGGCAUCCUUUACUAUUAUCUCGUUUUAAGCAGUUGCUCGUAAAGAGGAAGUCAACAGAGAAAAGGCUAUAUACGAGCCUCAUAUAAGUGAGGGAACUCAUUUCUUCUUCCUGUUACUGUAAACAAAUUUGACCAAGUUGUUGCCGAACGAGGCGAUAAAUACACUCAAGGUGGAAGGAGGCUAAAAUUCAACGUAAAACUUUCUUAAGAACAGGGAGGCAUAGGUUACUGGUUGUGACAGAGGAAAGGAUGGGCGAUUUCGAGAGAAUUCGUUUAGUAAUCCUUGGAGGCGCCGGUGUAGGAAAAAGUUGUGUUCUUAAACGUUUUCUCUUCAAAACAUACUCUGAUAAGUAUCGAGCAACAGUGGAGGACCUUUACAACAGAGAAUACGAUCUAGGCGGAGUGACCCUUAAGGUCGAUAUUUUAGACACUUCUGGGGAUAUGCAAUUUCCUGCAAUGCGACGCCUUUCAAUAGCAACUGCUCACGCAUUCCUACUCGUCUAUGCAACGACAUCGGCUCCAAGCUUCGCCUGCGUGAAACAAUGCUUUGAAGAAAUUCGGGAACAACGUGCAGAUUUUCAGGACAUUCCAAUCGUCAUAGCAGGCAACAAAUCGGAUUUAGCCCAAACCCAUCGUGAAGUUCGACUUGAGGAAGUAUCAGAUUGGGUAUAUUGCGAGCUACCCAGACUCAGGGCAAAGGUUAUGGAGUGUUCGGCUAAGGAUGAUUACAAUGUGACAGAAUUAUUCAAAACUCUACUGUCGCUGUCAAGAUUCUUACCUGUAGGUAAUAACGAAAAUACAUCUGGAUUAAAACGUAGAUCAUCAGCAUACGUCAGUGCAACUAGUAAAGGAAAAGCAAGAAUUGGAAGUCCGUCAAUAUCCACUACUAGCAACACUUCAGUGUUAACGUCAACCUCGGCAAUAGCAGACCCAACAGCCAGUGGAGAAUCAAGAUUGAAACCCCGAUCGAGAUCUCUUAUACGAAGAUCAUCGCGCAAAGCAAAGCAACAAAUUCAAAAUGCACCAACAGAUGAUUGCAACGUGCAGUAGGAAAGAGAAACGGACAAAUUCUCUUUUUAAUCAGUUGGAUCUGUCUUUUACUUUUCUUUCAAAUGAGAGUUAAGAUUAUCCAGCAUAAAGGUGCUCAAAUCAACUUGAGAUACGAAAUAGGUUAACCCAUGAUCUCCUUCCAGAAUCUUCUAGGAUAUAAUAGUUGACGUUGUAUACAAUAAAUUUUCUAAUAUAUAAUAGCGUUGUUUUGUUUGUAUAGCUGUUUUUGAUUGCUGUUGUAAAAAUUACCAUUGAAAUUCAUUAUGGCGUUAUUUUUUAAAAGCACUGAUACAUUUUCCUACAAUCCUACAAAUGUUCAUAUUAGAUUUACUCAAAACUAAGGUGAAAAAGAUGUGUUGAGGCUACGUGUAGCUUUAUAUAUAAUAUAAGUUAUAUAGUUAGGAAUGCGGACAUAAAAGCAGAUAUUUGGAAAAGUUUCUAAAAGAAAGCGACAAAGGGUAUGUCAGAAUAACCCUUUAGAGAGCAAACUCCGCGCAUACGUCGUGUAAAUACAUUGUUUGUCGGGUGUUUCCAUAAAUUAUUUCCAGAUUUCAGGUUACAAACAGAAGAUAUGAACGAAUCGUCCAAUCUGCACAUACAUAUAUUAUGUAACUACAUUCGAAGCACGUUAUUAAUACGCAAUGUUGUUGGUAUAUUGAAAACGUUUUUUGCACUAAAAAGCCGAUUGUUAGUUCGAUUUUUUGUUAAAUAUAGUGUUGUAAGUGGUGAUAUUUGAAAAAUGUAAUCGAAAAUGUGGCAAAUUCAAAAUGAAGUAACUUUCUUCUAAAAAUGCGCAUCAUCAAAUUAAAAGUUCUUAAUAAACAUUUCAUGAGAACUUACUUCCAAGUAAAAUUGCUCGUUUCGAACAUAUUUUAAUGUGAAAUUUAUCAAAACUGAGGAGACUCUUAGCAUGUAUAAUAUUUAGACAAAUACGGUGUAAAUAAGAGAAACGAUGCAAAGUGAAUUGUGAUGAAAAUAUUAGAUAUUUGCAGUUAAAAUUAUACAACAAAACUGAAGGAUAUACUAGUUCUUUUCCUCCAUUUUGAAUUGAAUAACAGGAAAUCACUAACUCUACUUUCCAUUGAAUUUUUCAACCGAAACUAAACGCAUUGGAACUAGUUAUAGAAAGAAGUAUGUACUUAUAUACGUAUAUUUGCAAAAGAUUUUUGAUUAACGCUGACGAGGUGAAUGAAGUGGUGAAACUAAAUUUUAUCAUUGAAUGUCCCCCCAAUACAUAAGUUAUAAUGUUUACAUUGUUAUAUGAGACUGCAAAUAUUUAUACAAAAACUAUUGCAGUCUAAGAAUGGUGGUAACAAGCGUGGAGCUGAUUCUCUUAAUUCUUGGAAAGUGUCACAUGCUCCCACAUAUUUACUUCUAUCAUUUAAUAUAAAUGCUACACAGGUUGCCGAUUUUUUACAAUAUCAAUAGGAACCAACGUACAGAAAGUAACGUUCCAUAUAAUACACGCAAAAUGCAGCACCCUUUAAUAUCUUUAACAUUUGAGCAGUCAGUCAAGAUUGUUAAAUAACUAAAUGCUAAUAUAUAUCGCGGGGGCAUUAAAGGUGCAGGUAAUUUUUAUUAGAAAUUAAAAUGCGAAGUAAAUCGAGAACUUAACUUUGGAGAUAUGCAUUGUUGUUAAAUAUAAAAUAUAAGAAUAUUCAUAUUGUUUACUGAAUCAAAAAUGGUUUCUGCUGUUAGCAUAUUAAGGUAAGACUUUUUGAAACUACAGUUGAGUAGGUUUGAAAGUUAAAUAAAUCAAAACAAAUCACUACAGAAAAUACAAGAUUAAAUUAAUAGGGCCAAUCCAAGGCCCAAUCAUAUUUGAUAAAUGAAUAACAAGGACACACAAUUAUGGAAUUGAAAGUUGAGAUCUCACGCAAUUGAACUCCCUCCUAGAUAUGACUGAAUAUUUGCCAACUUUUUUAACAGCCUCACUUUAUAGCACAAAAAUCUAUAAGAACGCACCCCUAAAUCAACUUAUAUAUGCCACUUUUUCAUGCUUUUAUACAGUGGGUAGGCAUUUUAAAAUCGACUUAAAAUUUUCAAACUCUGUAGAGUUCGAUUGUUACAAUUGUCCACUUCAAACACAAUAGAUUAAAUAUUGAUAAUAAGUUGCUUAAAGUAUUUUAAGAAAGUGUGAUAUGAAAGAUUUUCAAACUCAUAAUAAAAACGGAAAAAUAGAUUUGCUAAAGUUCUGCCUUGUAAUACCGAACUGAUCGAAUUUUAAGGUAGACAAUGUAUAGCGAGAGUCUUCGAAUUUUUAUUUUUCAAUUUAGUGAGCAGCAUAUAAAAGAAUUUCGCCCUGGAACCACCGUUCGAUCUAAUAAUUGCGGUUGUUAACAUUGUCUUCAUAAUUUUGUUUUCAAAUAGUAAUUUUUCAUGAAAUAAUAAAAAUUUAACAUUUAGUGGGAAAGUUAUUACACUGGCAGCUAUUAUCAAAGAAUAACAUCAUUCCAAUCGUUUGAAUAUUUUGAAACAAAUUACUUACAUUACUUGGAAUACGAAAUCGAAAAACGCAAUGUUGAAACUGAUGUUUUGCACGACUACAUACCGUAACGAAAACUUUAAAUGCGUUGUCCUUCGAACAGUAAUUGAAAAUUUUAUAUUUUUCUUAAGCUUAUCAUCAUAUAUCUAUAAAAGGUUUGGAAAUAUUAUAAAUGCGUUUUUUAACUUUGAGUAAUGAAAUUUGUGAUAACUUGACAACCAAUGUCAUUUCAUUAUAAAAAUAAAUGUUUGAUCGCUAGCUCUUGUAUUUAAGGAACUAUUUUCAAUUGGUUCAUUCUUCUUGAUAUUAUUGUUAGGUUGCGUUUACCAUUUGGUGCUGUGUGGUAGUGUGCAGUGCUCGUAAUUUAGCCGAAGAGGCAGCAUUAUCUCCAAUUAUCGACGGAGGGAAAAAAUUGACUGCUAAGUAAAAAUAAUUAUGAUACGUUGAAGUGAUGUUGCCCCUUAAAGUGGUCUUUAGCCCAAUAUCUAGGAAGUCGACGAAACUCAUAAUCAAAACCACUUGUUAAAUCAAAAUUACUUCAAAAUAAAUAUCAAAGUACCUCUUAUACCUGUAUAAGUAUCUAGUAUUAUCACUUAGCCAAACAAGGAAGUAAAUCAAAAACAAAAUAAAGGGGAUCAAAAUGUAAAAGAACUGGCAUAUUUUGAAAAUAAUUAUCCAGCAAAUCCGUUUAUAUUUUUAAUCUUUGAAAAUAGCAGUUUCAAGGCAACUCAAAGUUUUUCCACAUAUAUGUGUAUUUGAAAGUUUAUUAUCCGAACUGUCAUUUGACCAAUUAGCGUAAUUUGUGAAAAUUACAUAUUAAUCAUCUGAGUGUUUGAAAGAAGUAUCAUAUUGAUCAAUGUUGAUAUGUUCAAUAUAAAAUUAACUAAAGAAUUUACUGGAGUAUUAAGAAUACGAUGAGCAGCCGUUGAGAUCAACUAACUUAUUAAAGAUUGUUCAGUGUAUCGUGUUUAAAUCAAGGAAUUCCAAUUCUGAGACGAAUGAAACCAUUAUUAGCGCUCUACACAAUUAUAAUAUAAGACCGCGUUUUGAUUCAAAAAGCACAAUAAAACGAAGAGUAAUUUAUUAAUAAUAAAGUUUUCGCUGUUGAGAAAAACUUCUUUUUUUAUUUCAUCUGGAAUUAAUUUUAGAAUCAAGGAUUGAUAUAUUGAGUAAAUUUUGACCCUUGCAGGGAUGUUAUUUUUCGUCCCUUGCAUAGUGAUGCGAACCAAUAAUUGCCAAUCCGGCGACUGAUUCAAUUUGAGAAGUAUAUCUCUUGGAUCCAUGCAUCAGCCAUCCAACUGGGUAAUGAUAAAAUCCACAGAUUACGGUCAAGUUAAACCAUUAGUUUAACAGCGUCUGAAU
rnacentral:misc_RNA from 1 species